CAGUGUGAAGAUCUGAGACCCAGCAGAGCAACAGGUAAUUACUAUUUUCAAAGCACCUGGAAACUUUAAGUAGGAUAUAGACCCAUUGCGCCAGGAGCUGAACAUGUAUUUGCUGCUAGUGAAAGCAUGUUCAGUGGGAUGAUCUGUGGAAAGGAUGCUGAGUAAGACCUGCAUUCUAAAAGAAUAUUUUAAUGGAACAGAUUAACACUUCUUUGAUACACACUAUCACAAAGGAUUUGCACGUCUUUAAGGUUACAUGCAUAUUCAAGUUUGAAAAUUUUCCUUUACAGUGUCUCUGGGGUAUGCUUUGUUUUGCAAUUCACGACUCUGUUUGUGAAGUAAAUACCAAUAAGUCUCACUCUUAGCAUAUCAAACCUUUGCCUGGCAGCACAUACAACAGCUUUGUUGCUCUCCAGCACUGCUCUGUCUACAUUUUCUAACCUUCACCCACCACUUCUGGAGAUGUGAAACUGGUUUGAUCUUCAUCUGCAUUCCAUCUGUUCUCACUCUCAACAGAGCAGGAAUCACCAAGGGAUGCCAACUACUGUCUGCCUUUUGUGAAAGGGACACAUGCCUACUGUGGAUUAAAUCAAAAUUCUUUAAAAUGAUUAAACAUUUUUUCAUGUGUUUCUGUGACAAAGUCUGAGCAUGGGACUAUGCAUGUAUGCCUCAAAGAGUUGGAACUUUAUUUUUUAUCUUCUUUUACUAAGGAAAAGAG